GACGAACGCUGGCGGCGUGCUUAACACAUGCAAGUCGAACGGUAAGGCCCUUCGGGGUACACGAGUGGCGAACGGGUGAGUAACACGUGGGUGAUCUGCCCUGCACUUCGGGAUAAGCCUGGGAAACUGGGUCUAAUACCGGAUAGGACUCCGGACUGCAUGGUCUGGGGUGGAAAGCUUUUGCGGUGUGGGAUGGGCCCGCGGCCUAUCAGCUUGUUGGUGGGGUGAUGGCCUACCAAGGCGACGACGGGUAGCCGGCCUGAGAGGGUGACCGGCCAAACUGGGACUGAGAUACCGCCCAGACUGCAACGAGAGGCAGCAGUGGGGAAUAUUGCACAAUGGGCGCAAGGCUGAUGCAGCGACGCCGCGUGAGGGAUGACGGCCUUCGGGUUGUAAACCUCUUUCAGCAUCGACGAAGCGAAAGUGACGGUAGGUGCAGAAGAAGGACCGGCCAACUACGUGCCAGCAGCCGCCGUAA
rnacentral:rRNA from 1 species